CUACAUAACAUAACAGAAAUCGUAUUAGAUUGUUUGUUUAAAACUAUUUGAUUGGGUCUUUGAAUCAAAAUAGUACCACCCACUAUUUUUGGCAAAUUCCAUAUCCCUCAAUAGAAUUCGAGAGUUAUAUUGAACUCUUAGUGGGGUAUGGGAGACUCACCAUUACCAAGCCCACCUCAGAAGAAUAUCAUAUUGGCUAGCAACAAUAAUGAUGAGAGAAUAACGCAUUAUUCAUUUACAACCUUUUGUAAUUACCCAUCUAGUUUGGCCUCUAGAGAAUGAUGCCUCAGAAGAAUAUCAUAUUGGCACCAUUGCACUUAGUUAAGUCGUUCCCACCAUGCUUGUUCAAGUAGGGGUUCAAGAAUGGCCUCAGAAGAAUAUCAUAUUGGCCAUACUCGUUGCCUACUUUCACUUCAUCAUAUGUUUAUGGGCUUCUCCUGAAUGUAAGCACAUACUUUGCAUACCCCAAAACUGGACGAAUACGGUGUAUGAGUCACAAACGAUUGAAGCCCACCACGGUGGAAGGCCUAGGAAGAGAUGUUCAAAACAUCUCUCGCUUAUCAACUUAAUAUUCAUUUGUUGAGGGAGUAAUUUGGGCUACAUCAAAAUCAUUUUAAUCACAUUAAAAGAACUUGGGCCUAUCACAACCAUUGGUCCAAGUUUAAUAUGAAUUAGUAGUUUAUAAUACUCCCACUAUUUCGAAGAAAUAAGUGAGACUAUAUGGAACUACUAACGAAUGCGUUGCAUCCUCAUAUGGACUAUAUAGUCAUAUUAGGUCUUAGGAUGAUUAUGAAC
rnacentral:lncRNA from 1 species